GUUAUCGGUUGAUUCUCUUUCCAGCACUCUUUAUUGCUUGUUCAUCCUUAUCUACUUGUGAUUUCCACAAUUCUUUCAAAUUUUUGCGAACACGGUCCUUGUCUCUAUUCUUUCUUUUCUAUGAUCUACUAUCCUUCUGAGUAUAUUCAAGAUUAGUUUUGAUAUCUUGUGCGACUGUUAGGCUUGGUAAACGACACAUUAGUCCUUUAGAACACGUUUGAUGAACACAAAAGGUAAAAUUUGUAAACAUACGACGUAGUAAAGAGUUGUGGAAUCUUGUUUCAUGAGGAAGAGUUUUAUUGAUGUUAAGUUUGUGACUACUAUGAUUUGCAAAGUAUUUGGUGAGGUUGAGAACCCUCGGAUGAAUUGAUCGAUGAAAUACGGUUAAGAAUAGUGGAAAUAAGUUAUGUUGAAGUUUAAAUAGUUGAGUCUUUGAAGUUGGUAUGAGAUUAGUAUACGGACGUUGAGCACAUCAUUUUAAUUCCGGCUUGUUUUAUAGCCUUUUGCCGCCUUGUUUUACCAUCACACGUUUGAAACAUAUUAUUUUGUGCAUCAAGCCUAUUUUGUAACCUUGUUUCACACCACACUUAUAUCCUUUAUAUUUUUAUUCCAUAUGAAAAUCCUGGUAUUUGAAACUAUAUGUAUGUAUAUAUAAUGAGAACUUUUUGCUUCUUCUUUAAAUGAGUUCAAGAGUGAAGUAAUAUGAAAUCUCUUUUAUUUUGUAUCAAUUUUCGAGGACGAAAAUUUUUAUAAGGUGGAUAGGAUGUAAGACCCAUAAUUUUCAAAAAAAUAUUAUCAUAAGUUAAUUUCAAUUUAUUUAUUCAUUAAAAACUUUACUUUUAGAAAUUAUUUUAUUAAAAGUAAUUAAAUCAAGUUUUGACAAUUAAAUUAGAAAUUUUACUUAAUAUUAUAAUUAUUGAAUAAUUUUCUAUAUUUAAAUUAGGCAGCUUAAUAGUUGUUAAAGAAUAAGGAUUUUAUACACUUUAGUUAAAUAAUAGAGAUUCUAGAAUUUAAUACUCUAAUUUUAUAAACAAAGAAAAUUAAUUAUAUUAAAUUUAAUUUUAAAUUAAAAUAUUUGAUUAAAAGUUAAUUAAUAAAUUAAUAAUCAAAUAAUAUUUUCAAAUAAUUUUAAAGAAUUAAAUUAGAUUUUUAAUUAAUACUCUACAUCCCUAAUUUUAUUAAAAUUACCUAAACUAUCCUAAUCCUAACUUUAAUUAAAUCAAACCCGAACCCCCCAAACUUAACCCUACCGUCAUUCACUUUCUUGUUUCUUAAACCUAACCUACGGAAGAAAGGGAAAUAAGGAAAGGGAAAAUAAGGAAAACAGGGGGGAAGAAAGGGGAAAUAAGGAAAGAAAAGGAAAUAAGGAAAGCAGGGGGGAGCUCGAGAAGUGGGGAACUGAGAAAGGAAGAAAGGGAAAGCGAGUGGCGAGAGAAAGAGAAGCGGAGAGGGAGAAGAGGAAGAAAGGUGAGUUGAGAGGAAGAAGCCGUUGCCACUGCGGUCCGCGUUCACGUCGUCGUCGUAGCGCUGCCAUCCUUGUGCCAGUCGCUGCCGCUGUCGGUGAUGAAGCCCAUCGCCGCCAUUCGCGCCUCUAUCGCUGCCAGAACGUCGUCGCUGAAGCUUGAACGCCGCUGCAACCACCGCAUGUUAUCAUCUUUAGCUCCGCCGCGUUUAAGUCGCGAACAGGAGAAUGUGCGCAAAGGAAACCACCGCGGAGCUGCCGUCGCCGCCGUGUUGAUGGGCUCGCCGUCGUUCUGCUCGCGUGGCUGCUGCGUUGCCGGAGCUCCUCGCCGCCGCUGCUGGCGCCAGAAAACCGCGGCUGCAGCCGCCAGAGGACGCCCCUGCAGCUGCCAAACCCCAUUCCACUCCAGUUUGGGUUCCGGCUCUGGUUCGUUUAUGCUGGGUUUUAUUCUCCUGAGUGUCGGAGCCGCCAUUUUCUUGUGAGUUUUUUCGCUGCUGGUUGAAGUCGCCGCUGUUGGAGCUUGCCGGAGUUAACCGCUGGAGCUGUGGCUGUGCUGUACUUAGUUUCUUAUUGGUACAAGUAGCUGUGGUUGCUGCAAAAGUGGUUUAGAGUUGAGGAUGAGACUGCCGCGUUGUGGGCCGAGAGAAAAACUGAGUUUAUCACGUAGCUAAGUCGUAAACGAGCUUUACUUUUUCAGGAACCGGAUGAAGAAGCAUUAAGAAGAGUUAUACUGCGUUUGGUUUAUAUGUUGUUGUAUUAAUUAGUUUAUUUUCUUCCCUCGUCUUUAUUAUUACAAAUUUGUAAGAGGGAUAGAAAUUGUAUGUUUUAUAUGUGUGUAAUAUUAUGAGUUAUUACGUAAGGAGUCCUGUAUAUGAAUAUAUGCCUUGUAUUUUUCUUAAGAUGAGGUAUUAAUUUCUGAUUUUUUAAAGAAAUCAGCGAUACAGUAUCGAAUCACAGGCUCCUAUUUUAGUAUUUAGUAUGUAGAGUAGUCGUAAUACUUCUUGCUAUCAGAGUAGCGCAGCCGGUAGCGUGACUUCUGAUAGUGAGGGUGUUACACUACUAAAAUACAACAAUAUCUAAACUUUAUUUUACAGAUUUAAAUGUUUUAAAUAAUUGCAGAAUCAAAGUAAAAUGAGAAUUUUAAGAUGGAUGAAGGUAAAUUUUUUA